rnacentral:rRNA from 1 species
UCAAUAGCGUAUAUUAAAGUUGUUGCAGUUAAAAAGCUCGUAGUUGAAUUUCGGGAUCAAAUUGUCGGUCGUGCCUCGGUACGUACUGGCGUUAUUGGUUCCUCCCUUCUGAAGAACCACGAUGUCAUUAAUUUGGUGUCGCGGGGAAUCAGGACUGUUACUUUGAAAAAAUUAGAGUGUUUAAAGCAGGCUCGCGCUUGAAUACAUUAGCAUGGAAUAAUGAAAUAGGACGUUUGAUUCUAUUUUGUUGGUUUCUAGGAUCGACGUAAUGAUUAAUAGGGAUAGUUGGGGGCAUUAGUAUUCAAUUGUCAGAGGUGAAAUUCUUGGAUUUAUUGAAGACUAACUACUGCGAAAGCAUUUGCCAAGGAUGUUUUCAUUAAUCAAGAACGAAAGUUAGGGGAUCGAAGACGAUCAGAUACCGUCGUAGUCUUAACCAUAAACUAUGCCGACUAGGGAUCGGAUGAUGUUAAUUUUUUAAUGACUCAUUCGGCGCCUUACG